GCCUCCGUAGCUCAACUGGUGGAGCAGCUCAUUCGUAAUGAGCAGGUUGGCGGUUCGAAUCCGCCCGGGGGCU
rnacentral:tRNA from 2 species